rnacentral:snRNA from 1 species
AGUAAAAGACUCCAGUGCAUUUAUCCAAAAAAAUCUUUCGCCUUUCACUAAAUAUUUCCGUCCACUGGAGCAAUGAGUAUUUACCGAUUUUUGCAAUCUCGAAAGAGCGGGAC